CCCUUAGAUGUUCUGGGCUGCACGCGCGCUACACUGAAGCGUUCAACGAGUAUUCACCUUGCCCGGGAGGGUUGGGUAAUCUUUUGAAAACGCUUCGUGAUGGGGAUAGAUUAUUGCAAUUAUUAAUCUUCAACGAGGAAUUCCUAGUAAGCGCGAGUCAUCAGCUCGUGCUGAUUACGUCCCUGCCCUUUGUACACACCGCCCGUCGCUACUACCGAUUGGGAAAAUUUUAGAGAGUCCUGGACUGAUGAUUGUUCGGCUUCACGGCCUUACUUUCGUCGGGAAAGAAUUCGAUAAUAUUUUUCUAGAGGAAGUAAAAGUCGUAACA
rnacentral:rRNA from 1 species